CGGAUCUUUGACCCAUGGAGCGAGGCCAGGGAUCAAACCCGAAACCUCAUGGUUCCUAGUCGGAUUCGUUUCCGCUGCGCCACGGCAGGAACUCCCCUAUUUCCUUCAUUUUAACCGAAGGACAUCCUUUUUCUGUUCUGGCAUUCUGUCCAGGAUAGCCCUAUCACAUUGUCACAUUUCCUUAGGCUCCUCUUGGCGGGGAUGCGUUUUUGAUGACAGUUUUCAGGGGUGCUGGCGUUUUGUAGCUAUUUGGUAGGACACCCCUCUACUGGGCGUUAGUCUGAUGUUUCUCUCUUGGUUAGCCUGGAGUUGAACACAGAAAUUGGCAGUCAGUGGAUCGUGGCUGCCUACUCCCGUGUUCUCUCAGCUUCAGCAUCCAUAAAAUUGGAAUCAAAUGUCUGCGGAAAGCCUCAAACACAGCUUGGAAAAUCACAGAUGGAGAAGUGGAGUCCAGGCUCCUUGGUGUGGCCAAUGACGUCCUUCUCAGUCACCCCAACCCCUUCACCAGUCUCCUCUCCCUGCUGGGACCCCCCUGCCCCAGGUUUGCCAUAGUCCCCCCAGGAGGCCUAGGCUUCAAAGCCUAUUGAUUGUCUUAUGCAAUGCCUGUUCUCCCUUCUCUUCCUAGCUCAUUCCUCUUAGAUCCACUUGACCUUCUGCCUCCUCCCUGACAUCUUGCCCCCUUUCCCUAAAGAGCCUGGCAGUGUCCCUGAGGUCCCCUUAAAACUUGGCCCGUCUCUUGGUAUUGUCCUUCUCGGGGCACGACAUCACCUCUUCCUCUUGGCUGGAAGCUGCUUGAGAACAGGGACUGAAUCGUAAUCCCCUCUGUAUUCCUCACGCCCAGGCUGAGGGCCUGCGCACAGUAGGUGCUCAGGGAUGCUUCGUGAAUGACUGACAGUAGAGAGAAGUGCUGUGUCUGUACCAACCUUAACACAGAGCAUGUUGCCUUCAUCCUAGGAAUGCGGGGUGCUCCGGUGGGUGAUGGAUGCCGGUAACUAACCUUUGGGUGACUCUUAGAAAGCCACUCUUCCUGCCCCAAAGUGAUAGGCGACGGUGGUCAGGUGAGUUGCCCACUGGACGCACUCCAGGAAACUGGCACUGGCAGCUCCCUGUCCCGAGAGCUCUCUCACCAGGAUUUCUGAGAAUGCGAACGCUCAACGGGAGAGCCCAGAACCAAACUUGGAGAACACCCGAGCGCCAGCUGGAAGACAUCAAGCAUCCCUCCAUGGCUUUCUUAGACAGGAGAGCGUUUGUAACGGGAGAGCAAAGCAGUUUCUACACAGAGCCGUGACUAAAGGAGGAUGGGCAAAAAACCUGCUGGACUUUUGUCCCAUAUGAUAGCCUGAGUUCCUUUAGAAGCUGCCAAGGUUCUCAGGACCAGGUGUGUGCCAUGCCCUUGGCUGGGUAUCAUGCGGCUGUGCCUGGCACAUCGUCACCAAGUUCACUUCUCUGAGCUCCAGGACUCACCCUAGGCCAGCAUGAAGCUAUUAAUUAUUUUUCUUUGUCAAACCUUUGUCAGCAACUUCAUCCCCAAAGAAGUGGUUUGUAUUCCCUUUGGCAGUGUUUGUGACUCUAAUAAAUGAGAGAUAAUUAC